GUCAGGCAUGGUGGCGCAUGCCUGUAGUCCCAGCUAUUCGGGAGGCUGAGAUGGGAGGAUCACUUGAGCCCAGGAAUUCUGAGCUGUAGUAUGCUAUGCCGAUCAGGUGUCUGCACUAAGUUUGGCAUCAAUAUGGUGACCUCCCAGGAGCAGGGGACUACCAGGUUGCCUAAGGAGGGGUGAACCGGCCCAGGUUGGAAACGGAGCAGGUCAAAACUCCUGUGCUGAUCAGUAGUGGGAUUAUGCCUGUGAAUAGCCACUGCACUCCAGCCUGAGCAACAUAGUGAGACCCCAUCUCU
rnacentral:SRP_RNA from 1 species